rnacentral:pre_miRNA from 1 species
AAAGUACUCCCUCCGUCCGGAAAUACUUGUCAUUGAAAUGGAUGUAUCUAGAUGUAUUUUAGUUCUAGAUACAUCCAUUUUCAUCCAUUUUGAUGACAAGUAAUUCCGGACGGAGGGAGUACAAA